AUUUAUAAAUUAAAGUAAAAUAUACAGAUUUUUUAAAAAAUUUCGGAUUAGUAUUUACAAAUCCAGAGGUUUUCCCUCGGAUUUGAGUAUUUGUAAUAUCCAAACAAAUUCAUUCAAAUCCAAUAUAAAAUCAAAUUUAUUAGUAAAUCCGUACGAUUGAAUAACAUUUGAUUUGAUAUAGAAUUUAUGAAUCAUUAAACCAAUAACACAUGAUUUUAAUAUAGAUUUGAAAAUCAUAGAACCAAUAACACUAGAUUUAGUUCGGAUUUUCAAAUCCAUUAAAAUACAACAACCAAUAACUUCUACUUUGUUUCAUAUUUAAACGGUAUAAUUUAAUUUAUGUGGUUAAAUUCGAUUUAAAAAAAUUCCAGCGCAAAUAAUUAAGUGAUUGGAUUAGAAAUAGCUAAAAACUUAAUCUUCUAUUAUUAUAUAAUAGUGUUUGAUUCAUUUCUAGGGGGUCCACGUCGGAUCCAGUCUGGAAACUCGCUUCAUGUACGCGGCCACGUGUCUACCUUCUCUCCUCGUCGUUUCAUUAAACGAAUUCGUCUUGGGCUUUUUUUUUUUUUGUAAUCGGGAAGAAUUCGUGAUGGACUUCGACGAUAGAUGUGGCUUUCUUUGUGGGUUUAGGCUUUAUAUUGUAGCCUGUCUGUUAAUACCCUUAAAAAGUGUCGUUUUGUAAAUUAGGGUUCAUCGCCUUCUUUUCUUUUCCGCCGUUAGAGAAAAUUGAGAUGGGGUUUCGAUUUUGACGUUUGAUAUUCGUCUUCUUCAACAUAAAUGCUCCCACUACAGAUUCAUCCCGUUAAGCCUCUUAUGAAAUCCAUCAACCACGAUCUAGCCUUUAAUGCAAGUUUCUUUUGUGCAAAGCGGAUGUUAUAAAAGCUAUGUUGGAGAGCUGUUCAAGAGUACUUCAAGGUUUAGCUUUCAACACUGUUGCGUGGAAUGAUUCUGUUAUCUUUGUAGACAAAAGUAUGAGAUGACUUCUUAUAGGUUUUACAGUCUACUUCUAUGUUUGUUCUUUUUCCUUCUGUUCUCUUAUAUCUCGUGUAAAUUUAAGUGAGAUAAAAAUCAAUGUACAAUCUAGAAAUAAUGUAUUUACUUUUUUUUU